UAGGGAAUCUUCCACAAUGGGCGCAAGCCUGAUGGAGCAACACCGCGUGAGUGAAGAAGGGUUUCGGCUCGUAAAGCUCUGUUGUUAAAGAAGAACACGUAUGAGAGUAACUGUUUAUACGUUGACGGUACCAUACCAGAAAGGGACGGCUAAAUACGUGCCAG
rnacentral:rRNA from 1 species